CCUACGGGUGGCUGCAGUGAGGAAUAUUGGUCAAUGGCCGGAAGGCUGAACCAGCCAUGCCGCGUGAAGGUCAGUGCCCUAUGGGCGUUAAACUUCUUUUGUGCGGGAGCAAUAAUGGUCACGUGUGGCCAGACGAGAGUACCGUACGAAUAAGCAUCGGCUAACUCCGUGCCAGCAGCCGCGGUAAUACGGGGGAUGCAAGCGUUAUCCGGAGUGACUGGGUGUAAGGAGUUGCGUAGGUGGCAUAAUAAGUAGCUAGUGAAAUCUGGUGGCUCAACCAUUCAGACUAUUAGCUAAACUGUUAAGCUCGAGACCGUUAGGGGUAACUGGAAUUUCUAGUGUAGGAGUGAAAUCCGUAGAUAUUAGAAGGAACACCAAUAGCGUAGGCAGGUUACUGGGACGGUUCUGACACUAAGGCACGAAAGCGUAGGGAGCAAACGGGAUUAGAUACCCCAGUAGUC
rnacentral:rRNA from 1 species